rnacentral:lncRNA from 1 species
GGUGGUACGCCAACACCUGGAACAUCCACACCAUUCUCUCCAUAGUUCUCAAGAUUGUUGUUGACUGAGUCAUACAUUUCGACCUGAAAUCAAAAAACUUGGGCAAGAAAAAGUGUGAAAGAUAACUUGCAUUGUGUAGUAAGACCAACAAGAAAAUAAUCACUAUUAUUUUUAGCCUCACGAUGGGCGCCAAACUGUUUACCGUGAAAAUGAUAAUUACAAUUAAAUCUGAUUUUGCGGUUCUAAAAAUACGUGAUCUAUUUUUGUUCUAGUUGUUUGGGCAAUAGAGGCUAAGUGAGGUACUUGGAAUCAAGAUAAGAGCUUAAAAACAAGAUGUUAAACAAACCGAAUAGCUAUCAAUCGGGGCCUCGAGUUUACUUAUUCGAGGCCUCGGGGUCGAGUCUGAUGUCCGCCGAGGGUGAUCGAGGGACGACUAACAGUUAUAAUCAAAUCAAUGAUGGCUCUUUAUCGCCAAUAAUAAGAAAUAAAUGAAAAUCCAUAAAUAGAACACAAUGGAUAUGAACAAUAAAUGCAAGUAAUGAGAUCAAGAGAAUAUGCUAGAGAGCAGAGAGAAUGUUCUUGUGUAUUUAGUAUUGAGCAACAUGUAUUUACAAAAGGACAAGUAUCCCCUUUAUAUAUAAGGGGGAAUCCCAACAUAGUACAUAUGCAUUAAUUAUAAAGAUAUGAAGAUGGUACAGCUAGUUAAUGCCUUGAUUUGUUUUUUGGACUUGUCCACUAGGCUUUGUCAGAUGUAUGUACGUGCCUUGGGAACUUCACCUUGAUCCAUCAAGACCACUAAUUUACAUUGCCUCGAGGCCGGUCGUUAUUCACACUACCGCGAAGUCGAUCACCGAGAACCCUCGGAGUCGAUCACUGAAAAUCCUCGAGAUGCCUUGAUGAUCGUAAAAUCAAACCGUUGAUUUCUACUAAUAACUAGGAUUUUUGUGGUAUAUUUUAGUCUGAAAAAGGUCCAAACACUUCAUAGCAUUGAAUACUCCAUUCCUUUGGAGCUUUUUAAGGAGAUUCUCUCACUUUUCUUCAUUGUAAGCUUUUAAUAUUUUCUUUCAUGCUUUAAAUAUUAGGAUUGUGGACCCAAAAUAGGUAUAAUAUUAAUGGGUGUUUACCAUUAAAUAUAAAUAUAUAAAUAUAUAUAUAUAUAUAUAUAUAUAAGGGGUUAUUGAUUUCUCUUCAUUUCUCAUGCUUCAUUCAUAGUUGGUGGUUGUAAAUAUUAAUUAAUGCCAUUUUACUUUAUCUUUCAGUUGAAAAAGUGUAUUAGGUUUUGUAGAAAAGAAUAGCAAGAACUCGAGGCUAUAAACCUUGUUUAAUAGAACCGCUUAUGAAUAAGUGGGUCCUACUUGGUAUAUAUUAGUUUCUCUUAAUUGUAACACUUUGGUAUUUGGAAAAUUCAUAAAGAGGAAAUUCAAUGUAAUUAUUGGAAAAUAUUGGGUAGUCACUUAGAAAUCAUUUGCACAUCAAAGGACUUUCCAUUAGAAAUGUAUCAUAUUAAAACUAUAACAUUACAUUCCAUGAAAGGGGACAUAACCUUUAUUUCUUAAUCCAGUAGUCAAAUCUCUUAACAAAAUAGCUUCUCUUCAUAGAUUACAAAGAUCAAACUCUUUCUAAACUAACGGGAUAAAAUUACGAUCUUAUUCAAGUAAUCUUUUGUUACACCCCACAUUUAAAUAAAGCGUGAAUUCUAGCGCGUCCAAUCAGCUGGAGACAUGUUUGAAGCCAGAAGGUGGUCACACGUUUCAGUAGGUCUGCACCAAGUGUCUCGCCGACAACCGGGGUGGGCGACGCAUUUUGCAUGUAGGAGCGGCGAAAAUUCCAAGGCUUGGUAUUAAUAUAAAAUGAUAGUAAGGCUCAUUUUUUUCAUUCUUAGAAGUAUCACUAGAACAAGUUCCCACAAAUACUGUCAACACACUUUUAGAAUUUCCUAUUGAAUUAAGGCAAAGUUGAAGGUGAAUAUGGAUUUGGCAAGAUUUAGGUUGAAGGAACUUGGAGUCGUUAUUGUAACCCGCCAUCGUCUGGUGACACUAAUUCUGAAGACUCGUUAAAGGCAAAGUUAAUCACCAUAGGAGUGUAAUUAGAUCUCCAACAAAAUAUGUGGGGGAAUCUUCUUUCUUGGCAUGAGUUAGCGUAAAUCUCUCAUUCUUUCUAAAUAACUCGUGUACCGAAGGUUUAGUAGUUCCAGGUCCUCUCAAUGAUAUUAUAUUGUUCUUGUGCAUUGUUGCUGGUAGCAUGUCUUAUAAAGUCUAUAUUAUUUCAGUUAGUAUAUCUCUUGAAACUGCUAUUAUAUUAGACUUCAAAUAAUGCAUGGCCCCAACGAGAGGCAUGGUUUUGCAAAGAUUUGGAUGCGUUUAUGAUCCAUGGUCUAUAGUUUUCCACAGUUUGAUCUAUGCCCCCCGACGGCUUGUCUUCGGUAUUUAGGUUGGAAUCACGUACUCACAUUUCUUAUGUUAUGACUCUGAUUUACUUGUGCUUCUUAGUCUUACAUAUUUAGUACAUGAUCCAUACUGACGCCCUUUCCUUUUUGGGUGUUGUGUUCAUGCCCAUAAGUACAAAUAGACUCGGUGACGCCCAUCCCAAGUAGGUUCAUGAUUCAGCUGUUGGUUGUUGCUCUCCACUUCUUCGCAGUAGUUGUUCAAAGGCCAAUAGAUACUGAAGCAGAUGUCAUAAACAUUUUGGGUACGAUGCGACCCUAUCCAGACCAAGUUGUGUAAUAUGUAUAGCUGUUCUGGGAAUCUUAGAGGCUUGCAAACUAGUGUUAGUAUUUGGUUGCAUGUAAUGGCUGGAUAUGACUAUGUUAGUCAUAGUGAUGAUCAUGUAUAAAACGCAUAUAUUGCUUUUGCUAAUUAGUUGUACUCAUUUUAAAUUUUGGUAGACGUUACUAGAAGGCCUCAAAGACCCAGUUUUUUAUGAAUAAAAGUAUGGAAGAUCACACAUGCAUCAGUUCCAUUUGCACCUCCCAAAGUUGGGGUGUGACAAACUUGGUUUCAGAGUAGGUCAUGUCCUCUACAAGCCGUAUUUAUUAGAGUCUUGUUUAUGGGUAUGUGGUGCACCAUACUUAUAAGCAGGAGGCUACAGGAGACGCAAAUCACUAGUUCAAAGACUAAAUGAAAAAGCAGGAGAAGGUACCAGCCAGGUGCCACCUGCCCUUAUGGGUCAACAUGGACCCCAUGAUGAGGUUGAAACUUAGGUUUUGGGGACAACACCACCACACCUGGAUCAUACUAGAGAAGUUUAUGCAUCCCCUAUUCCUCCGCUGGUUGUUCUCGAGCAACAUUUAGACAUGAGGAAUGUAGUGUAGCCUUUGACUUAAUUAGUGGCCUCUCAGGCCCAAUGUCAAAUCCCCGCCACCUCGGAUAGAGCGGUUAUCAGGAGAGUCCGAGAUUUUUUAAAUUUGUACACCCUGGUGUUUACCAUAAUAGAUCCCAACGAAGAUCUCCAGAAUUUUCUAGACCAAAUGCAGCGGACCUUAUGACUUAUGCAUGCCACCAAUACAGAGUCCAUAGAACUUGCCUCAUAUAGAUUGAGGGAUGUUGUUGUGACUUGGUAUGAGACGUGGGAGCAGUAUAGGGGACCUCUUACCCCACUGGGAUGGAAAGAGUUUUUUGAAGCCUUUCUGUAAGGGUAUUUGCCUAUUUAGCUCCACCGAGCUAAGCAUGAUAGAUUUUUACAGUUGGAACAAGGUAAUAUGAGUAUUCGGGAGUACAACAUGCAAUUUAACUCCUUGGCCAAAUAUGCUCUUUUAAUUGCAGCAGAGAUGAGUGAAAGAGUACAUCGAAUCGUGGGUGGACUAGGGCCACAUUUGAUUAAUGAAUGCACCACUACUUCUUUGAGUCUGAACUUGGACAUUAAUCUUAUCCGACGGUAAGUGCAACAUCACAGUUUUAAGAUCAGAUCCAUGGUCGGAUCACCUAUACUGGUCUGAGUUAGAAUCCACGGGGUCAGAGCUCGCAAUUUAGUAGAGGCCCUGGUAAGAUGAGGCCCCUGGUGCCGCAUUGUGGCAGGUGUGGUAGGAAUCAUUUUUGGCAUUGCCGUCAGGGUUCAGAUUUGUGCUAUUCUUGUGGGCAGCCCAGUCACAUCAUGCGUUUUUGCCCAGCAAGAAAUAUGGAUGGCGUGAUACCACCAACAGGAUUGACAACAAAUUAUUGAUUGAUAAUGCAUCCUCGUGAGCAAGGUAUACAGCCGCUGAUGGUAAGGGGUAGAGGUAGAAGUGGAAUGUCUAGCCCGAAUGUGCAACAGCAAAAUCAUAUUUAUGCAUUGUCAGGUCGUCAGAAUUAAGAGUCGUAACCCAAUGUGGUCAUAUGUAUACUAUCUAUAUUCUCCCCUAAUGUGUAUGCUCUGAUAGAUCUAGGAUCCACGUUGUCGUACAUUUCUCCAUUUGUGUCUAAUAACUGUGGUAAGAAACUUGAAUUGCUACAUCAACCAUCUGAAGUGUCCAUGCCCAUGGGUGAAUACGUGGUAGCUAGGCAGGUGUAUCAAGGUUAUGAUGUGAUGAUUCAUGAUCAAUAUACCUUGGCCUAUUUGAAUCAAUCGGAAAUGAUAGAGUUUGAUGUCACUGUAUACAGCGGAAAUCGAUGACUCGAUUUCAUGGCAUCUCGAGGGUUUCCAGUGAUUGACUCUGAGAAUUCUCGACAGUUACACUUCGAGACAGUAUGAGUAAUGAGUGGCCUCAAGGCAAUGGAAUUAACAGUCUCGGUGGAUCAGGGUGAAGUUCCCAAGGUAUAUACAUAUAGCUGGCUAAGUCUAGUGGUCUAGUCAGAAAAGCGAAUCAAUGCAUUAAAUGGUCGUACUAGCCCAUAUUUUUGUAAUUAAUGUAUUUGUACUAUGUUGGGAUUUCCCCUCUUAUAUAAAGGGUAUCCUUGUCAUUUUGUAAACAUUUGUUGCUCCAUACUGAAUAUACAAGAACAUUCUGUCUGCUCUCUAACAUAUUCUCUUGAUCUUAUUACUUCAUUUAUUGCUCGUAUUUAUUGUGAUUCUAUUCAUUGUUCGUCAUUUAUUGCUUAUUAUCGGCCAUAAAGAGCCUCCCUUGAUCUAUUUGUAACUGUUAUUCGCCAUCGACCGCCUUCGAUAGCUCCUAGCCGAGCUUCGGACUCGACCUCGAGGCCCUCGAAUAGGCAAGCUUGAGGCCCCAACCGAUAGCGAUUCGGUUUAACUAACACCUCAUUCUUAAGCUCUUAUCUCGUUUCUAAGUCUUUCACAUAACAUCUACUGCCUAACAACUGGCAUAAAAAUAGAUCACGUAUUUUUAGAACCACAAAAUUAAAUUUAAUUGUUAUUACCAUUUUCACGGUAAACAGUUUGGCGCCCACCGUGGGGCUUAAUAUAAUAGUGAUUAUUUUCUUGAAGGUUUAGCUACACAAGGCAAGUUAUCUUUCACGCUUUUUCUUGCCCAAGAUCUUUGAUUUCAGGUCAAAAUGUCCGACUCAGUGAACAACAAUCUUGAGAACCACGGAGAAAAUGGUGUAGAUGUUCGGGGUGCUAGUGUCCCACCACGAAACCCUGAGAACGCACCAGAAUCGAUUCUCGUGGACGCGGUCUCACGCGAUGCUCAACAUGUCGAUGUAAGCUCCCACACUAACAGGAACGUGCACCAAGGAGACUGACAAGAAGCUCAGGAAACCCCGGCUAAGGAAGAAUGGGAGGUUAACCUUCACGUUAUUUUUGAAAUGUUUCAGACACAACAGCUUAAGAUUGCUCAGCUACAAAGUCACCAAAAAACUCCCAGCACAGUUGCUCCGGGGACGGCUCUCCCGACCGAGCAGGUACUAGAGAGGUCAACCAACAAUGGGUCGGUAGCCAACCCCGCCAUCGUAAAGAUGCUCGAGGACCUCACAAAGAGGAUCGAAUCGGGCGAGAAGAAGAUAGAAGCCAAUGACAAAAAAGGUCGAGACGUACAACUCCAAGGUCGAUCAAAUUCCAGGCGCACCCCCGGUCCUGAAAGGUGUGGACUCAAAAAAAUUCAUACAAAGGUCGUUCCUAGAAGAAGCGGAUCCAAAACACAUUCCAAAGAAGUUCAGAAUGCCAGACCUUCAGAAAUACAACGGGACCUCAGACCCCAAUGAGCAUGUUACUGCUUACACUUGCGCAGUGAAGGGCAACGAUCUCAAGGACGAUGAGAUCGAGUCCGUAUUGUUAAAAAAGUUCGAGGAAACACUCUUGAAAGGGGCCAUGAUGUGGUAUCACAACCUAGCUCCUAACUCCAUAGACUCAUUUGCUAUGCUGGCAGAUUCUUUCAUAAAGGCCAUGCCGUCAAAGUAGCGACAAGGAAAUCUGACGUCUUCAAAAUCAAGCAGAGGGAGAACAAGAUACUGCGAGAGUCUUCGAAGCAACUGAAACAGAUCCUGGGCGAAUAUCCCGUCGUGACCUGGUCGGACGUUCACAAUCAAUAUCAAUCAAAAAUUAGGGCCGAGGACGACCAACUAGGAGCACCCUCGGCCUUGGUACACCCAAACAGGCCACCGACGAAGGAGCCAAAGCCAAGCAAAGAAAGGUACCAGUCAUACCCCGAAGACAAGAGGAACGCCCCAAGGCACAACAUACCCCGCAACGAUCGAAGGAUGGACCGAGGUCAGAAUCCUCGGGGACUCAUCAACAGAGCUGGCUUUGAUAGGUACACAGGGCCGACAGAGGCACCUUGCUUGUCAGAAUACAACUUCAACGUUGAUGUAUCGCACAUUGUGUUCGCCAUCAGUAAAAUCAGAGACACCAGCUGGCUAAGGCCCGUACAAUCAGAUCCUUCACAAAGGAACCAUAACUUAGUGUGUGAAUUUCACAAAAACACGGACACAUGACCGAAGAUUGUCGACAACUCCGGGAAGAGGUAGCCCGACUACUCGACAAAGGUCACCUCCGGGAAUUCCUCAACGAUUGAGCCAAAAAUCAGUUCCGGGAAAGAGAGGCGACCAAAAAGAACGAAGCAAAUGAGCCGCAACAUGUCACCCAUACGAUCUUUUAUGGUGUCAGUGUCGUGAAGAAACCACGGUCGGGAGAACGAAAAACAUCCCUCACCAGGAAGAGGAAAACUCGAGGCUCUAUCUCAGCCCCGUAACGACGCGCUGGUAACUUCUUUUCUUAUGGAUACAUUUCAAAUUAAACCUAUGCUUGUGGUUCCAGGUAGCUCGGCCAAUAUUAUCAGGUCAAAGGUAACAAAGCAGCUUGGACUACUCGACCAAACUAUGCCCUUCCCUCAAACCCUCAAUGAAUUUAACACGACAUCCACAAGGCAUAUUCUCGGUUGUUCUAAAUGAACAAAUAAAGGGCUGUACCGCACUCUUCGAGCAGAUAGCUAAAGGCCUACCGAGGUUCAAAGCGUCAUCGCCAACAAGGCCGAGCUUUUAUCCCGAAAAGGGUUUUACUGGCAAGGUUUUUAAUGAGGCAAUAUCCAUAUGCUACCUAAGGGAGACUCAACAAUUAUUAAGGGCUUCCUUUGCAAUCAACCUCGAAUACUGGGGGACAUCACCCCGGAAGGUCACCUACUUGGAGAAAGCCAAGACACAUCGAGUGCGGUCUCGAUAGGAAGAUAAUGUACCAGGCCAAACGGUCAAACGAACUGUGUCCGUAUAGAACAACUAAGCCCUUAAAUAGCAAAGAUAUGUAUACUUAAACCAAGUAAUCAAAGAAUACUUCACAAAAGCAUUUUGCGUGUCAAGAAAGCUCGACUUCUUUUGCAAAAAAAUGGCUCCAGAGACAAUAGACAAACCGAACAAUCGGGGAUUGGCAUCAACAACUCACAAAAUGUCUUAAGAGCCAAAAGAUGACCUGAACACUCGGGGACUGGCGUAAAAAACUCAAUACCAUAUUACCUUUGGGUCGGAAAUUCCAAAAUCGUAAGUCCUCAAUGAGGCAAUACCAAGCUUAGUAGUAAUGGAUCCCGAGUCGAGAAACCCUCGAUGGCUCGGGGACUACCGUCAAGCACCACCUCCAUUGACUUAUCAAAACCCGAGUUCAUAAGGCCACAUGUGGGCAGCCUCGGUCUCAUAAGACCUACAUAAAGAAACAGCAAUAUUUCUAAGAUCUCAAGCAAGGCGUGAACAAUACUUGUACUAAGUAUCCAAAACUGUAAGACUCAAAGGCAUGUAAAACUUGUAAGACCUUACUAAAGGGAUAAACCUGAUGUCAAAGUUUCAUCUAUAUAUCGAACUUGUAUGACCCAUAAAAAGGCAUACCCUUGAUAUAGAUGCCAAACCUACCUCACUCGGGACUUAAAGGCUACGGCCAAGCACAAAUGACUCCGGUCACAAGGUUGUACCAACCAAACUAACGCGACUCGGGGACACCCGACCGUCGCUAUAAAAUCAUAAGCCUUCAAUUACUUCGAAUAUACUUCGGAAAGAACCGGUUAAACAGGCUACCCUCGAUACAGGAAAAAGAGCUUCGACCAUGUUAGCUCCUAAAACACUGGCUUUAAGAUACUUAGCCUCCGAGCCAAACCUCCCGAGGUGCUCGAUCAUCGCCUUAUAAAGACUCACAAUCGAGGUUUUUUGAACCAUCGAAGAGUCAGGCAAAUAUUAUUUUAAAAAAUCCUUAUCGAGGGAAAAAUAAAGCCCUCAUAAAAGGUCGCAUCAACCCAAGGUGUAAGAGCCACUAUCGCCAGCCUGCAUACAGUAAAAGGUCGCAUCGACCAAAAGCUUAAGGGACGAUUGAGCUCGAGUCGUAACUCAAUUCGGAUAUUGAACCCAAAACAGCUAACUAAAUAUGCCUAAGGGCAAAAGCGUUUCGCCAACUUAAAAUUCAAAAACUUGAGGGUCGAAUGAGCUCGAGUCGUAACUCGAUUCAGAGAUUGAACCCAAAAUAGUUAACUAAAUAUGUCUAAGAGUAUAAGUGUGUAAAAGCCUACGGGCCAGCCCAAUGAGCCUCAAGGUCAUACCGUGAAUCUAAGGAUUCCCUUCAACUUAAAGACUAGUUCAUCUGGCUAAAAUCAAAACAAAAAGAAAUGCAGGAGAAACAAAACUGUGACGUUCCCCUCUUUAUACAUACACGCGAAAAAAUACAAGCUCUAUUUACAACAUACUUCGAAAGUACUAUGUACAGAAUCAAAAAAGGAAGUCUAUAUCCCCCUUUGGGACUAUGGCUCGUCGGCCUCAUCCUUGCUAUCCUCGGCAUCGGACAGAAGGAAUUUACCAUCAUAUUCUUCCUCCUUGGCCUGCUUGACCUCUUAGAAGAGGUCUAACUUGCAUGAAUUUCCUCGAGGGUUUCCUUCCGAUAUUUACACUUCACGUACUCUUUAAUAUUGUUAUCACGAUCGAGAGCUUCCCUCAGCUCAGCUCUAGCAUAGGCAACGCCCUUCAUAUAGGACGCAUGUAUAAAGUGAAACCGGAUUGUCUAAUUUCUCGCCAUUAAGGUGUAUUUGGGGUGUCAUAUCGAUAUCUCGAGGUUGCGGGAUUGCGGCCAAGUUCUCUCCCUCGAAAUCCAUUCACAUUUGACCCAGCAAUGACCCCUAGGGUAGGGAAUCCCCGAUGCGAGCAAAUGGCGCCAGUAGAGUCUAACAUCAUGUCUAGCCGUCCUAUAUCUGUGUCUUUACACUUAAUGCAUUCUGUACUAUGUUGUAUUCCUCCUCCUAUAUAAAGGGGAUCCUCACCACUUUGUAAAGGGCUGUUGUUGCUCCAACCGUUCUACACAAAAUCAAUAAUAUCUCUCUCUCUCUCUCUUUUCUCUCUAACUCACUCUCUCGAGGCUACUCUUUUCAUUUAUUUCUUUCAUAUUUGUUCUUCAUUUAUUGCUUGAUAUUGGCCAUAAACAACCUUCUUUAAUUAUAUCUUAAUUGUUAUCCCUUUCUCGGUUACUCCCGAUAGCUCGAGCUCGAGCCGAAUAUCGACCUCGAGGCCUUUUAUCGAUCAGUCUGAAGCCCAGGUAGAAAGCCCCUCGGUUUGAUUAUUGCCCCAUUCUAGCUUCUAUUUCGUCAUUAAACUUCAUAUGCAUAGCAUCAACUACUUUAACAACUAGCAUAAAAAUAGAUCACGUAUUUUUAGAGUCCCAUUUACAAAUUUGAUUGUUAUUACCAUAUUUACGGUAAACAGUUUGGCGCCCACCGUGGGGCUAAAAAUAAUAGUGAUUAUUUUCUUGAUGGUUUCAUUACACNNNNNNNNNNNNNNNNNNNNNNCUGGCUCGGUAAACAGAGUUGAGAAUGACUACCUUGAAAAUCACGGAGAAAAUCAGUCUGGUGCGCCACUGCAGAACCCCGAUAAUUCACCUGGACUGAUUCUAGCGAACGUGGGUUCGCAAGACAUGUAGCAGGUCGUCGAAACCUCACACACCGACAAAAGCAUACAACAUGGCAACCAAUAGGAAGCCCAGAAGACCCCGACUCGCGAAGUACAGGAAGUUAGUCUUCAUGAUAUUUUUGGAAUGUUGCAGGCACAAUAGUUGGCUAUCGCCCAGUUGCAAAGCCACCCGAAGACUCCCAGCACAGUAGCGCCGGAAACUAUCCCCCAACCGGACGGGUACCAGAGAGGUCAAGCAACAACAGAUCAGUAGUCGAUCCUACCAUCGUGAAAAUGCUGGAAGACCUUACCAAAAGGAUCGAGUCAGGCGAGAAAAUGAUAGCAGCCAACGAUAAGAAGGUCAAAACUUAUAACUUUUGAGUUGACCAAAUCCAAGGCGCGCCACCGGUACUGAAAGGUGUAGAUUCGAGGAAGUUCGUGCAACGGCCAUUCCCAAAGGAAGCGGCUCCGAAACCCAUUCCAAAGAAGUUCAGAAUGCCAGAACUCCCAAAAUACAAUGGGACCUAUGAUCCCAACAAACACGUCACAAAAGACGAUGAGAUCGAGUCCGUCUAACUGAAAAAGUUCGGAGAAAUGCUCUCGAAGGGGGCCAUGAUGUGGUACCACAACCUAGCGCCCAACUCCAUAGAUUCGUUUGCAAUGCUAGCAGAUUCCUUCGUAAGGGCGCACGCGGUGCUAUCAAGGUAGAAACAAGGAAGUCUGACGUAUUCAAGGUUAAGCAGAGGGAGAGCGAAAUGUUGCAAGAAUUCGUGUCUCGUUUCCAGAUAGAACGAAUGGAACUACCCCGGGUCUCUAAUGGCUGGGCAGUGCAGGACUUCACUCAAGGCCUGAAUGAAUAAAGAUCGGUGGCCUCAAGGCAGCUGAAAGAGAAUCUGAUCGAGUAUCCUGCCGUAACCUGGUCGGACGUCCACAAUUGAUACCAAUCAAAGAUCAGGGUAGAGGAAGACCAGCUGGGAUCCCCCUCGAGCUCAGUAUAUCCGAGCAUACUCUUAGAGAAGGAGUCAAGAUCGAAUAAAGAGAGGUACCAGUCGUACCCCGAUGAUAGGAGGAAUGCUCCAAGAUGCAACCCGCCUCGCAACGAUCGAUUGGUGAACAGAGGACAGAACCCUCGGGGACCCCUCAAUAGAGGUGCCUUAGACGGGGACACAGGGCCAACGGGGGCACCUCACCUAUCAGAAUACAACUUCAACGUCGAUAUAUUGGACAUCGUGUUCGCCAUUAGCAAAAUCAGGGACGCCAGAUGGCCCAGGACUAUACACUCGGAUACUUCCCAAAGAAACUACAACUUGAUUUGCGAGUUUCACAACUCGCACGGGCACAGAACCGAGGAUUGCAGGCAACUCCGAGAGGAAGUGGCCCGACUGCUCGACAACGGGGACCUUCGGGAAUUUCUCAUUAACCGGGCUAAAAACCAGUCCCGAGAAAGAGAAACAACCAAAAAGAACAAAGCAGACAAGGCCCAACACGUCAUCCACAUGAUUUUUUGAUGCUUGCUCCCGGACGUAUUCAAAUAAAGAACUACAUAACAUCCGCCAAACGAAUGCCGGAACCCGAAAGCGCCAUCGCCACUAAGAUAUAAUCACCUCUCCCUUUCUCUAUGUUUUACUUCAUGCUAACUCUUGUGCAGGCCAUCGACCAAGGCAGUCGGGACGCCACUCUGGCUCGAGGACCCUGAGGUUUCAAAGCCUCCGCUGCACUCUUUUCCUUUGACCGUUUUUUAUCCUGAAAUGGGUUUUUGCUGGUAAGGUUUUUAAUGAGGCAACGUCCACACACUUCCUAAGAAGGAUACAAUAGGCCUACCGAAUUUUCUUCACAAUCAACCCUGUACCGGGAAAUGACAAAUAAGGUUCCAAUAGGAAACGGUAUACCGGGACAAACGGUCAAAUGAACCGUGUCUGCACAAGCCGGGCUUACGGCAACACAAUGACAUGUAUUUACGCCAAGCAAUCAAAGAAUAUCUUUCGCCUAAAGCAUCUCAUACUCCAUGACCUCAGGGUCGAAACUUCGUGCUCAUAAGGCCCCAACGAGGUAAUUCUAAGCUCACGAGUAACGGCCUUCAAGACUAAGCAAACUCGAUGACUCAAAGACUGUCGUCAAUUUCCAUUCAUUGGAAAACCCGAGGCCGUAAGACCUCGAGCGGGCAAACUCGGUCUAGCCAGAUAUAUUUUACAUAAAAACAAAAAAUGGUAAGACCUCAACAGGCAUGAAAAAACUGUAAGACCUCAACAGGUAUGAAAAAAUUGUAAGACCUCAACGGCAUGACAAAACUAUAAGACCUAAACAGGCAUGAAAAAACUGUAAGACCUCAACGGCAUGACAAAACUGUAAGACCUAAACAGGCAUGAAAAUUUUGUAAGACUUUACCACAGGCAUAAAACUCGAUCCCAAAGUUUAUGCUAUAUGUCGCAUUUGUAAGACUCCCGAAAGGGCAUACCCUCAAUGUAGACGCCUAAACUGCCACACUCAGGAUCACAAAUGGCUUCGGCCAAACACAAAUGACUACGGUCAAUACGGCCGCACCAGUCAAANNNNNNNNNNNNNNNNNNNNNNNNNUUAACAAGGGAAAAGCAAAGCCUACAUAUGCCUAAGGGAAAAAGCGUAAGAUCCAUAGUCUCCAGCCAAACGAGCCUCAGGGCCACACACUAAAAUGAGGUCGAGUCGUAACCCGAUUCGGAGACCAGAUCCGAAAUAGUUAACUACACAUGCCUAAGGGCAUAGCAUAAGAGCCAUCGUCACCAGCUCCACAAGCCUCAGGGCCACAUACAUAAUAGGUCACUUCAACCCAAGGCGUAAGAGCCAUUGUCGCCAGCCCUUGCAGACGUAAAACUUGAGGGUCGAUUGAGCUCGAGUCGGAGCCCGACUCGGAGACUGAACCCAAAAAUGGUUAAAAUGAGCACGCCCAAGGGCAAAAGAUAAAAGCCGUUGUCGCCGGCCUAACGAACAUCAGGGCCAUAUUACAGGUUUGGAUAUUUCUACCAAUCUAAAGGUCGAAUAGACCCGAUUGAGAUCUUGACAAAUAGAAAUACAGAAGAUACAAAUUGCGAGCUUCCCUCUCUUAUUUUUACAUAUAGGCGGUGAAACGCAAGCUCAGUCUACAACAUAUUAUGGAAGCUAUGUACACAAGAAGGAGGCAGGGAAUAAACGUUCCCGCCUUCGGCAACUAUAGCCCAGCGGCUCCCUCCUCACCAUCUUCAACAUCGGACAGAAGGAACUUGGCACCAUACUCCUCCCCUUUGGCUUGCUCGAUUUCCCCCGAGAGAUCGAAGCCCCUGGCAUGAAUAUCCUCGAGGACUUCCCUUCGGGAUCUGCACCUCGCAUACUCCUUGCUAUUGCUUGCAAGAUCAAGGGCUCUCUUCAGCUCAACUUUAGAAGCGAGAGCACUCUUUGAAUAGGCCGCCACUUUUUGUCCCGCCCUAGUAUUACUCAUCACAACCUCGGCCCAAACAUUCACCACCUCGGUCUUCGCGUUUAAAAGCUCAGACGAAAGCCUUGCGAUCAUGUUCGCCUGAGCAAAAUCGUUCACACGAACGGUCUGGAUUUGUGCCUCAAGAGCGGAAACCUUGGCUUGAGCCCUCUCUUUGGCGACAAAAUGGGCACUUACAUGCACCCGCAGCUUGUUGAAUUUGCAUUUGGCUCGGCCAACCUCACCCUAGACCUGUCCUAGCUCAUUCGCCUUAUCCUCCAACUGAAACAUCGAAACAUCAGGAUGCGAAGACAGAAAGGGAGUGCAAGCCAGCAUAAAGUACAGGGUACCUGUUUCUCCAGGCGGAUCUCAUGGCUCCGGCUCUGGUCCACCUCACGCCAUAAGGAAACCAGCUCGCUUUCCUUCGCCUCACAAAGAAGCUUGAGGGAUUUCUCCCUAUUCAAAGCCUUCCACAACGGGGCCUCGCUAUGAAGCAGCUCGAAUUUAAGCUUGUCAAAGGCCUGUGAAAGAAAGCUAAAUAAAGAAAGAGAAAAGGGGAAAAAGAAAAGCAAGGGGCUGGAAUAAUCUUACAGCAGUCAAAACUCACCAUAAGGCCAAACCGAGAUGCCUCGCCGAAGGCCGAAACAACGUCCAAUGGCGUACCACUCCCAAAAGAUGGUCGAUCGACCGAAUAGCUUCUCCUUAACUGCUGAGAGGGAGUCGCCUCACUACAAGCCUUCUUUCACCCCGGAGCAUCUUUUCUUUUGUCAACACUCCUUGAUCCCGAGGCCAGCAAUCUCUCCUCCUCCCCCGGAGGACACGACCUUAUUUCGAAAGAACCCCCGGAACCAGCGACAGUUGAAUCAAAUAAGCUGGCAAGAAAAGCGCCAUUUUUUAGGAGACAGAGCACUGAGCACCUACCACGAUGCUUCGCCUCCCAUCUCCCUUUGGACAGAUCUCACCAUCGGCGCCUAUCAUAAAUCGAGCAAGCUGCUAGCUUACGAGACAACUCGGAUAAAUUAGGGACCUCGCUCGGUGACCAAUGGGUUGCUACAAAUAAGGAACAGAAGGAUAUCAUUACGGAGCCUGCCUUCGGUCAAAAUGAUGAUAGUUCAUAUGAGGCACUUACGUGUAAAGUUCCAUUUUUCAAGAAAUGGCAAAAAUUCUCUAGGAAUGACAUCGGUCUUUCGAAUCUGAAUGAAUCCAUUCAUCCAUUAUCGUCCUUAUCCUCCUCACUACCAACCACAUGAGCUCGGGUGGAUCUACGCUGAAGAUCAAUUAGACCCCGGUAACGCAGUGGCCGAUAUAACCUCAUGAGAUGGCUGAGGGUAAACUCUAUCCCGGCCUUAUCGGAAAAAUAUCUCAUCGCCUGCACUAUUUUCCAAAGGGAGGGAUGAGCCUGCGCUAGUGUAACCCGAUAUCUCCGACAGGAAUUGAGCACGACCCGGUCGGGGAAACCCGGCACAAAAACAUGCGUGUAUACGCUCAAAAAUACCUCAACAUAUGUCAUAACGCUCUCCUCGGGAGAAGGUACUUGUAAUAUCACGUCUUCUCCCAUCCGCAAUAUUUUCUAAUCAUCUCGAGAUUUUCCUCUCCCAUUGAUGAAAUGAUCCUCGACACAUGCUUCCGGUGGCCCGGAACAUUGGAAGGUUUCCUCGACGUGACAGCUCUCCCCGAGGCAGGGCAUCUCGAGCAUCGCUCACUUGACAUCGAAGGUGAGCUGCUGGCGCCAAACGAAUGCAGACACAGGAGGAGCUUUCCUCCACCGACGAUCGGAUGUUGACGUAGCAGUCAUGGCUACGGUAAAAUAAGAGGGGAAAGAUGAGGGUCUGAGCAAAAAAAAAUCUUCUUGAAAUAGGGGAGCGGAAGAACUAGAACAAAGCGCUAGGCUCUGCGAAAGAGAUAGCCUUUCAAAGCAGCAAAUUCACCGUUGGAAAGAUGGAUGAAUGAAUAUAUAGGGGCUAAGCAACAACUUCCCACCUACCCAAGAGGCCAAUUAAUUCUAGUCGCGUUAACGUCACCCUCUCCUAGGGAAACGUACUUGCGAAAUUAUCCCUGGGCCAUUUUUAUUGGAUCAUACAAAUAUUGUUACCCCACGAGGCCUCGAGAAGCUCCCUGACAUCACGAGCAUCGAUCCUAGAGAGGCUGUCAAUUUAACCUUGGGGCAUGGCCAAUUUCUAGAUCCCAGUUGCUUUGAGAACAGGUCCCGAAAGGCCAAUGUUGAGAGUCAUGAGCUAAAUCGCGAAAGCAAAUGGGCAAAGAAAGAAGAGACUGAAGAAAGCUGACAGGAGGAAAACCCCUUUUUUUUACAUUGCCAAAAUAUGUAUUCACAAAAAACAUCUUUACACAACCCAUCCCCCGGGGGCCGUAUACAAAGGGAAAGGGAAGGGAUAGAAAAUGACUCAGAGGCUACUCCCCAUCGCUAUUAUCUUUGCCCUCAUCGGGGGCAAUUAAAAGCGCCAACUCUUCCUCCAAUUUGCAGGCUUCCUUGAGAUCAGCUGAUAGGUUGAUACCUCUGGCUCUGAUGUCCUCAAAGGUCUCUCUCCUCGCCUCCGCCUUAGCAUGCUUAAUAGCUCGGGUUAAUUUCUUCCCAGCUGCUAUUGAUAUGUCACGAGCUAUUCUAUGCGUCGUGGCUGCAUCCUCCAGAUAAGUGGCGGCAUUUCGUUUAGCCUCGGACUUGGCUGCGGCCAAAGCAACAACCUCCUUGCGAGCAUCCUUGAUAAGAUCCCGAGAUAUCGCCAAAUCACCAGCCACAAAACAAAGGUGAACCAAUUUAUGUCGGAACACGGGAAUAGAAGUCGGGUACAAGCAAGGCAAAAUACCCGUGCGGUAAGGUCAAACUUUUCAAGAAGCGCCGUUUCCAAAGCAACUCGGGCCUCUCCUAGUUCCUUCCCUCCCUGGGCAAAGCGAACCUCCGAAUCCUGCAGCAUCGAGGUAGCUUUCUUACACUCUUUUUCAUGAUAAGAAAGCUCCUUGCAGAGUUGAAGGAUGGCAUGAUCGUACGUCUCCUUGCACUGCGGUAUAACAGAUAAGUUAGAAAGACAAGGGAUGACGUUUGAGGAUAAAAGAAAUACACGAGAAAUGGCUAUCACCUGCUGCAUGAAUUUCUCCGCCGCUUUACGGCGCUAGGAAUAUCAAGAUCGGCACUAUCACUAACACCAUUAAAGAUGUUGGCAAUAGAGCCUCCCCCUUAGAGAGGAAUCCCUGAUUUGAUGCCAACCACUUUUUAAGCGCUCUGUAGUUCCCCUGACGAGACCUAGAAGCAUGAGAGGAAGUCGUUUAGGUCGCCGACUUCUCCAGAAAGCAACCCAUGCUCUUGAAAGGCUUCGCCCCCGACCCUUUAGGAUCAAUGGCAGUGGUCCCCCCGGCAGAAACUACAUUGAAUCCAGUUGCGCGAUUUGAAGCUACUUUAACACCGUCUUCAAGGGUCUCCGGCUCGCGAGAUCGACCGGAGUCAACCGUUCCGGACUCAGUAGCCUUCGAUCGAGGCACCUAUGAUGCUCUCGCAUUCGACCCCGUCCUCCGCACUAACGCAUGUUCAUCAUCAUUAUCACCCUCUUCCUCGGUGUCAAGAUUUGCCCCUGAAGUCGAAGUAGAGGUCCCGGCAGCGGCUCAGUGCUCGAAGUGACCCAAAUUUCUUUGCCACAUGAAGGACAACAACUGCCUUGCUUUACAUCUUCUUGCUCAUGUCAGGCUCCAAAUCCCCUGGCCUCAUCAGCAUAUUCUCGCCAAGACCUGCAUAAGUGCGGUAACCGCAAUAUGUCACCACCAAGGGCGUGGGGGGAAACACAAACAUAAGACAUAGGCGGUAAGGAAACUCUAUCGUGAUUCUUGGCCACCCAUCGCCCCUUGGCCAGGUCGGUCCAAGACCGAACAAAAUAUGGGAACUUCUCGUCCAACCGCUUGAUCCAUCCCGACAAAUCUAGAACUGCCUCGGGGUACCAAGCAGCGGCUGCAGGAAGCCCAAUGAGAUUGUUAUUUCAAAAAGAAGAAUAGUUGAAAAGCGGUUAAGGGAAAAUUGCUUACGUUGGGUGUUCCACCCCUCCAGAAAGGGCAUCCUCUGGGCCGGGAUGAUAUCCGAGGUCUUUACUCGGAUAAACCUUCUCAUCCAUCCUCGAUCCUUUCCCACAUCGGCGCUCAAGAAAAAUGAUUUUUUGGAUCGAUGAUGGAGCCUGAUUAAACCUCGAUAAAAUCAAGGGUUGUACAUCCUGAUUAUAUGAUUGAGGGUAAAGAUCUCACUCUCAACCCUUUCGAUUAAAUGGCAAAACAUCAAUAUUAUCCUCCAAAAAGAAGGGUAGAUCUGACCAAGCGUCACUUGGUAUCGGUCGCAGAAGUCAAGGAUAACUGGGUCUAUCUCCGGGGGAGACGACUAGGAAGAAUUAUAGGGACCCAGGGUAAAUGGGUAGGUGUACACGUAAAGAAAGCCGAACUUAUGAUUCGUUAUAUUAUCAUUGGGACUGGGAAUCUCCACCCCCACUGCUUCGCUCCAUCGGCAGUCCGUCCUCACCGUGCUAAUAUUGAUCACGAUGCUAACAUAUCGGGACAUAUGCUCACACCGGCCCGGUGUAGAUGAAGUGGCAUCGACAUUAAAAUCCUUUGACAUAUAGAGAUUAGGUGGGGUACACUAUUCAAAAGAAGGAAUCGCUCUCGUUUCCUCCUUAGAUGAUCGAGAUGAUGAUGCAGCGUCGUUCCGCCGAGGAACUGUUCUAGAAGUCCUAGCCAUGUCAAUAGAAAAAAAUUUCUCUAAAAAAAAGAUAGAAGAAUGGAAGAGGCAAAGAGUACUGACUCGUGAAUUUGGAGAUGGGGUGAAAGUAAGAAGUAUCAAACAGUCGAUGCAUUUAUAGGAACCACCUGGGCGGCAGAAAGGAUGAGCCAAUGGCAGUUCGUGGGUUCCUCGAUUAUCGCAUUUGACGACGACCUUUGUAUGGUUUUCUGGAAUAUGGCAUUUAAUGCUCUUAUCGGUUGACGUCACGACAAUCAUGACCUCGAGACGACGGUUCAAAAUCGUUUCCUAUUACUUCAUUCUAGGAAAUGCAGAGACUAGCUGUAUAUGGUGAAAUUGAAGGGUCCCAUUUCUCACCAUUAAGGUGUAUUUGGGGAGUCAUAUCGAUAUCUCGAGGCUGUGGGAUUGCGGCCAAGUUCUCCCCCUCGAAUUUCAUUCACGUUCGACCCAGUAAUGACCCCGAGGGUGGGGAAUCCCCGAGGCGAGCAAAUGGCGUCAGUAGAGUCUGACAUCAUGUCUAGCCAUCCCAUCUCCGUGUCUUUAAACUUAAUGCAUUCUGUACUAUGUUGUAUUCCCCUUCCUAUAUAAAGGGGAUCCUCACCACUUUGUAAAGGGUUGUUGUUUCUUCAACCGUUCUACACAAAAUCAAUAAUAUAUGUCUCUCUCUCUCUCUUUUCUCUCUAACUCACUCUCUCGAGGCUACUCUUUCCAUUUAUUGCUUUCAUACUUGUUCUUCAUUUAUUGCUUAAUAUUGGCCAUAAAGAGCCUUCUUUAAUCAUAUCUUAACUGUUAUCCCCUUCUCGGUUACUCCGGAUAGCUCGAGCUCGAGCCAGAUAUUGACCUCGAGCCAGAUAUCGACCUCGAGGCCUUUCAUCAUUCAGUCUGAAGCCCAGGUAGCAAGCCCCUCGGUUUGAUUAUUGCCUAAUUCUAACUUGUAUUUCGUCAUUAAACGUCAUACGCCUAGCAUCAACUGCUCUAGCAACUCGCAUAAAACUAGAUCACGUAUUUUUAGAGUUCCAUUUACAAAUUUAAUUAUUAUUACCAUUUUCACGGAAACAAUGCCACUUUCUGGUCUGCCCUAGUGCGACUUAUUACGGCCUCGGCUCGGGCAUUCACCACCUCAUCCUUCGCCUUCAAAAGCUCGGACUCGAGCCUUGUGAUCAUAUUCGCUCGGACAAAAUAAUUUGCGUGAGCGUUCCGAAUUACCUCGAGGGCAGAAGCCUUAGCCAAAGCAUCCUCCUUAGCCGCAACUUGGGCAUCUACUCGAGACUUUAACUCGUCAAGCUCACAUUCGGCCCGGACAACUUCGCCCCAAAGACGUUCCAUCUCCUCCGUUUUGCUCUCCAACUGAAAUAUCGAAACAUUAAUCUCCGAAAAUGAAUGGGGGCAUACAUCAACCUGAAAUACAGGUUACCUGUCUUUUGAGACGGCUUUCGCAGUUCUGAAUUCUAUCCACCUCACACCGCAGGUAUACCACCUCACCUUCCUUUCUCUCACAAAGGAGCCUAAUGGAUGUCUCCCUAUCCAAAGCUUUCCGCAGCCUGGCCUCAUGGCGAAGAAGCUCGAACUUAAUCAUGUCAAAGGCCUACAAAGGAAAAUUUAAUAAGAAAGGAAGGGCACGAAACCGAUAUAAGCAUAUACCGGCUACCGAAGCUCACCAUAAAGCCAAGCUGAUGAGCCUCACCAAUGUCCAAUGGCCUAGUAUCCCCCAAAGCGCCUUUGGUAGAAAAAGAGGGAGGCUCCGUAUGACUCGCACUCCUUGAAAUACCUUCAACGGGAACGAGAAAUGAUCUUUCAGAAAUAGAGGCCUCCGAAGUCGGAAGAUCGGCUGAAUCGCCUCUUUUGAACCUCAGAAAAGGAUUUGCCCCACCGUGAGCAUCCUCACACCUCGGAGAUUCUUUCUAUUUAUUGUCAACCCUUGACCCCGAGGUCGGAAGUCUUUCCUCCUCCUCCAGGGGGCACGGUCUCAUCUCGGAAAAAUCUCCAACACCUGCGGCGAUAGAAUUAGUGCGCUAAACAGGAAGGUACCUUUCUGAGGAAAUAAGCCACUAAACGCCUACCGUGAUGCUUUGCCUCCCAUCUCCCCCCGGACAGGUCUCGCCACCUGCGCUUAACAUAGGUCGAACAAGCUUCCAUCUUGCGGGACCACUCAGCCAGAUUAGGGAUCUCAUUCGGCAACCAAGGAAUCGCUACAAAGAAUAAGAUAGAAAGACGCCUUUAUGGAGUCCUCCCUCGCUAUGGACAAAGCGAUAAAAAUACAAGUAUGCCACUUAAUUGUGAAAUUCCAUUUCUUAGGAAAUGGUAAGAACUCUCCAAGGAUAAUGUCGACAGUCCGUGCUCGAAGGAACUGGCUCAUCCACCCCCGGUCCUCGUCCUCUUCGUUGUUAAUGGCAGGGGACCGAGUGGAUCGAUGCCGCAGGGUAAUCAAGCCCCGAUAAUACAGCGGCCGAUAUAACCUAACGAGAUGGCUGAGGGUGAAUUCAAGCUCGGCCUUAUCCAAAAAGUACCUUAUCAUCAGUACUAUAUUCCAGAGGGAUGGAUGAACCUGAGCCAAGGUAACCUGAUAUCUCCUACAAAACUCAAGCACGACCCUGUGAAGGGGACCCGAUGUAAAAGGAUAUGUGUACAUGCUCAAAAACCUCUCGACAUGGGUCAUGAUAUUCUCCUCGGGGGAAGGUACCUGUAGUACUACUCCUUCUCCCUAUCCGCAAUCUUUUCUAAUCAUCUCGAGGUGUUCCACCCUUAUUGAGGAGAUGAACCUCGAUACGUGCUCCCUAUGCCCUUGAAUGUUGGAAGGUCUCUCCAACGUAAAGUCUCUCCUAGAGACAAAGCACCUCGAAGCUCACUCACCGGGUACCGGCGGUGUACUACCGACUGGACAUACAACAGAGGUAGAACUCCCCUCUCUUUGACGGGAGGAUGUCGAUGUAGCAUCUAUGGCUACGGUAAAAUAGGAUGAGGAUGAUGAAUGUUUGGGCCAAGGGUUCAAGCCAAAACGACGAAAGAACUAGCACAAAGAACAAAUCUCCAUGGAAGAAAUAGUUACUUUGAAUAGCAGAAUCUCCAUUUGAGAAGUAAGCGAGUGAAUAUAUAAAGGCAGGCAAUGACUGCUCGCUACCCAGAGGACCAAUUAAUUCUGGCCAUGACUGUAGACAUGUGACUUUUGACCCUCCCCGAGAUUUUACAUAUUUUAGCAUAUAAAUAUUUAGUAGAUCUAGUAUCGAUAUUUUAUCUAGUUUUGACCCUUUUACUUUAUUUUAUCACAAAAAUAAAAAUUACAAAAAUAUUUUCUUUUAUUUAGCUAAUUAAUAUUUUAUCUAGUUACUUUUAAUUUAUCUACUUUACAUAAAAUUCAAAAAAUACAAAAAUAGUUCCACUUUAUUUUUAGGAAUAUUAUUUUAAUGAUUUUAAUCUAAUUCCAUUUUUAUCUUUUAGUAUAAUAUUUGAAAAAUACCAAAAAAUAGGUUUGUUUUAAUGGUUAGUAUUAUUUUAAUAGUUAUUUUACUUAAGUAAGAUUGAUUGGUAAAUAAGGUCGUAUUUUUAGUCUUGUUCACAGAGAACCAUUUUUGGACCUAGCCCAUAAUAACUCAAGCCCAAUACCCUUAAAACCCUAGACUUAGACUUAAAAGGACCCCUAACCUAAGGAGAGAACCUAGACCAAUCAGCCAUUUUCUGAUUUUAGACCCUUAAUCAGCCACAAUAGACCUAGAAAACUCUACAGAUCAGCAGCUAGAAGAGAAGAGCUAACACAGAAGAGAGCAAUGGCGGAGCUCUCUUGAAAAGGACCCCCCUAUCAACUCAUCUUCUUCUUCAGAGAAGAAGAGCCAAUUUCCAUGGCUUCUUCUUAACCAAACCAAAGAUCCUUGCUCUCUUCAAACACACAAACAGCUGUUCCCCCUCGUCUUCAAAUUCCUCUCUCUAUCGUUUCACCUCCAUCGCCGGCGAGAUUCACUGGAAACCGGCGAAAACUAACCCCAUAACCAGUCAGUUUGCUAUUCGAUUCUCUGAGCUUCAGAACUAUUUGUUACGCAAAGCUUCAGUUUAUUCUCAUAUCGGAACUCAUGGAGGGGAACUGCUCGAUUUUGUUUUGAAGUCGAGCGUUCCAGUCCAAAGUCAAAGAAUCGAGUCGAGGUGUCCGUUGUAGCCGAGUUCGAAGUACUUUGGUCGAGUUUCAUUGAGAUUCUGGCGAGGCAUUUCGUUUUUCUGUUUGAGGUUCACAUUUGCUCGCCGAUUCGAGAAUAGUUAGAGCUGUAGAGAUCCAAUCGCUUAUCUUGUUUGCUUUAUCGGUGUAGUGUUCCAUAUAAAUGAUAUGUAUUAAUAUGGCUCCUGCUUGGAUCUGUUCUCCUGUUGUUUUAGCCUAAUUUUUCUUAGUUGUUAAUUCUUACCAUUAAGUUUAUUGGUUCUGGUUGUUGAGUGAAAAUAGCCCUACUAAACUGCUGAAAUCUCUAGCUAACUGGUAGCUAAUGCAGUCGUACCUUAGUUCAAGAUAAUUUUGUUAGUAAAUCCUUUUUUGUAUAAGACGUUUUCCUUAAGAAACCCAUUAGAAAGAGGGCAAGUUUAUUGAAGAAUCUUGAUUUAAUUAAUACAAUUUCCUCUUCUACUUUCCUGCACUUGAAAAUGACCGAAGAAUUAAACUUGAAAAAUGAGGAUAAGCGAUGGUCACAGUAAUGCAUUUGGUCUUAAGGUUUGGUAUUGUAAAAUUUGUUUUCCUUUAUCAGAUAUUUCAUCAAGUUUAGUUAGUUCCUAGCUUUAGUUUUAUCAUUUGGUCGAAUUAUUUUCUAAUGUUGGCUUAACUGUUUUAUAAAUUUUUUAUCAAUCCUUCAAUAAUCCUCUUCCUCUAUUGACGUGUAAUCAGUACUAGAUAAAAUGUUCCCAUAACUCUUGGGUCUCUCAAUAAUCUUGGCUUAGGAAAUACAUAACGCAUAAAUCGAUAGUAUGCUUUAGGCACGUAUUAAUAAAUAAUUAUCGUGAUUGUGUACAUGUUCGCGUGACAUAAUUACGAUCUAAAAAAUAAAAUGGGGGUAUGCGUUUCGCGCAACUUCGGCCAAACUUUCUUAAUAUUAAUAAAGCGUUAUUAAUAGUGAACACGUUCACGUGAAAUUUUUUUUUGACGCGCCAAACAAAUGAGUACACGUGCGCGUGACCUAUUUUAAGAUAACAUCUUAAUUAAAAGAGGAAAAUGCACAUAGUUUCUAAAAUGAGUAAUUAGACAAUUUGAUUAAGCCAAGUAUGAUCAAAGCGACCGUGCUAAAACUACGUAAUCCGAGAAUGCCUAACACCUUCUCCCGGGUUAGCAGAAAUCCUUACUCAGAUUUUUGUGUUCGCAGACCAUAAAUAGAGUCAAACUUCCUCGAUUCGUGAUUUUAAACCGGUGACUUGGGACAUCAUAAAUUAUCCCAAAUGACGACUUUGAAUUUUAACUAAAAUAAUCGUGUUUCGAUUGUCACUUUAAUUGGAAAAACUCCCUUAUACCCCCUUCACGUGUAGAAAAAGGAGGUGUAACAGCUCUAGCGACUCUACUGGGGAUAAGAAUCCAGAAUCUCUGGUUCUUGGUUCAGAAUUCGAGCUUGUUAAUAUGAUCUAUGCUUUGCUUUAUUUAUUGUUCAUAUUAUCGUAUUUGUGGACCUAAUGUGCUAACUGCUGCUUAUUUACCGCUUUGAUAGUAUUUGAAUUGUAUUAAACUGUCUUUUUACGCCUCCCACCUGAGUUUUCUAAAAUAUGGUGCACAUGUUCGCGUGACCCACUUUUCUGUUAGAAGUUAUACCAAAUAGAGCGAGGCUAGGCCAGCAAUAAGGUCGGGCAGACUUUUGUGCUCCCGGUACGUUGCCCCCAUCUCGGCUCGAGUUGUCCGCUCGGGUAAGCUAGGUCUAGAACAGACCCCAGGUUAAACCUAGAAUAACAUAGCCUCAUGUCGGAACCAUAGUAGGAAUGUUUGUUUGCAUCACAUGCAUUUGACCUUGGGGACUCAACACAGGGGUUGGGUCCGUCUAGGACAGGUGUACCCAAAUUAAAAGACCAUCCUGAUGCAUCUUACGUGCUACUUGUGUAUCUGUUUUCUUCAGCUUGUAUGUUGACUAGCUAUUAGAAUAGGUAAAGAAAACAAAACAAAAAAAGGAAAAAAAAUUGAAAAAAAUCAAGAGUGAGAGGUAGGUAAUCCGAAGCUUUGCCAAAAUUUUNNNNNNNNNNNNNNNNNNNNNNNNNNNNNNNNNNNNNNNNNNNNNNNNNNNNNNNNNNNNNNNNNNNNNNNNNNNNNNNNNNNNNNNNNNNNNNNNNNNNNNNNNNNNNNNNNNNNNNNNNNNNNNNNNNNNNNNNNNNNNNNNNNNNNNNNNNNNNNNNNNNNNNNNNNNNNNNNNNNNNNNNNNNNNNNNNNNNNNNNNNNNNNNNNNNNNNNNNNNNNNNNNNNNNNNNNNNNNNNNNAUUUUCUUUCUUCUUCAGAAGUCUUUCUUUUAAAAAUUUUUGAAAAAAACAAAUAAAAAAACUAAAAAAUAUUUUCAUUCUUUUUUCAUUGAAAAGAAAUUCAAGAAUCAAAUUUUUUUUUUCUUUAGAAGCAGUUCUUUCAUAAAUUGAAAAUAAAAGUCCAAAAAUCCAAAAAUAUUUCCUUUCUUCUUUAAAAGUUUUUCUUUCGAAAUUCCAAAAAAGAGUUAAAAUUCAAAAAUAUAUAUAUAUUUUCUUUCUAAAAAAAGUUUCAAAAUUCAAAAAGAGAGUCAAUUUAUUUACUUUAUUCCCGAUCUUCCCGAACUACGCAAGAUCUGAUUCAUGUUCCCAUAUGAUACGUAGGCAACCCACAUCAGGUUUGACCACCAUUAAAAAAAUAUGAUAAAAUGAAAAAACAAAAUGAUGAUAAUAAUAAGGGCUGACUGAGAUCAUUCUAACAUGUCUUUUAUUUUGAGUUGUGAAGAAAGUUUGAGGUGGUCGGUUUGUUGUAAGUUGACAACACAAGAUUCAAAGGAAAAAUGUCAUUGACUACUGACAUCGAAGUUGUUGCAAGCAGUUAUGAGACUCAGGGUCAGAGGGUUCAACAAGAGUCUACUGUGGUUGAGGAAAAUAGAAUACUGAAACAAAAAAUGACUGAAAUGUGUCAAGAGUGGGCCAAUGGCCAAGGACCGCCCUUUUCUUCUUAUGGUUUUCCAGAGUUCACACUCAUCUCAACUACUGCCAUUCCAGUCUUAUUGUCUGAUCAAUUCUAUCCACCUGGGUUCAGUCAUUAUCCCAACUGUAUGACUACAGCUGGAACCUCUGUUGUGCGCUCUCAAAGUUUGCCAUUGACAACCAAUCAGAUAACCGCUAUUGUUAUGCAUGUCUUCACCAUUCCACAGCCGACGGUGGUGCAGAGGAAAACUCAUGAGUCACAGUUUGCCACCCAGCAAGAACAGUCCCACUCUCUACUCUCUCGAGUACCACUCAUACCUAUUCGAUCUUCCUGCAAAGAUUGAGAAGCCUGCCCGAAAGAUGGCAUAGGAAGAAAUGACCCAAAGAGUGAAAAGCUUAGAGCAACAGUUGAAAAACAUGCAAGAGUUGGAAGGUCAGAAGAGUAUUGCCUUACAAGAUCUAUGUAUAUUCCCCGAUGUUCGUUUGCCAGUUGGUUUCAAGAUCCCCAAAUUUGAAAAGUAUGAUGGACAUGGAGACCCAAUAGCCCACCUGAAAAGGUUUUGCAAUCAACUAAGAGGUGCAGGAAGAAAUGAAGAAUUGCUAAUAGCUUAUUUUGGGGAAAUCCUUAUGGGAGUAGCAUCCGAAUGGUUUAUGGAUCAAGACACAUCUCGCUGGUACGUCUGGGAUGACAUGGCACAGGCAUUUGUCAAACAGUUCCAAUACAACAUUGACAUUGCCUCAGACCGCAAUUCCCUUUCAAACCUGAAGAAGAAAUCAAGUGAAAGUUUCAGGGAAUAUGCCAUUAAAUGGAGAGAGCAAGCAGCUAGAGUUAAGCCACCCAUAGAUGACCACGAGCUAAUCAUUGUCUUUCUUCAGGCGCAAGAGCCAGAUUACUUUCAAAACAUGAUGUCCGCAGUUGGCAAAUCCUUCUCAGAAGCAAUGAAAAAUGGGAGAAAUUGUAGAGAAUGACCUUAAGACAGGCAAAAUUAUAACUCUAAGUAGCUCUCAAAGCUGCAACUCAGGCUGUCCAAAUUGAAUCUGGUGACACGAAUGAAACGGACGAAGAAAUCAUGAUGACAUCAGGGGCGAGAAGUGGUCCUCGGAGAACAUCUCGAAGAUAUGAACAACCUCGUCUGGCUUUCCAUGAUUUCCCUAAAUACUAUUAUCCACCUCAGAACCUCAAUACUGUGUUACUUCACCUCAGUAUGUUACCGACCACCAAGACAUCCCAGAAGGCGAGCACCAGCACCGCAAAAUCUCCACCAGCCUCCACAAACUUUUCAAGUGCCCUAUAACCCACAUCCAAGCCAGGGGUAUAGAAGGGAACAAAGGUUGAAAGAUAAUUUUACACCAAUAGGAGAGUCCUAUGCAAGCUUAUUUGAGAAGUUAAAGCAUUAUGACAUGAUUGCACCCAUUCCUCCAAAUCAUGUAGACCCACGUGCAAGAAGCUUUGACCCAUAUAAAAGGUGUGAAUACUAUUCCAAUGCCCAGGGGCACAAUGCUAAAAGUUGUCGGGAUUUGAAAAGAGAAAUAGAAAGGAUGAUUCAGGAAAAAACUAAUUGUGAUCCAAGACAAUGACACCUAGAAUAUCACGCAGAAUCUUUUACCUGCACAUGAUGAUGCACACUUUGUGGGAUGAUGUCUGGUGACAUGGAGAAUGAGAAUCCACUCGGGAACUUGCCGACUGAAAUUGGAGAAGGCCAUAGUAAUUCUGAUGAGCAAAUUUGUGGCUAAAUAUCAAGGUUAGCAAUUGAAAAGUCAUUCCCUCCUUACUAGCAAGGAAUCUUGGUGGUUUGUUUUGAUUUUUUUUCUAUUAUCUGGGUUAUUUCAGGGUUGUGAUCCAGAUUUUAUUUGUUUUAUUGAGUCAAAUCCUUCUAUCCCUCCAUUCUGUCUGUGCGAGUCCUGUCCGUUUGCUCUGUUGCUAUUUUCAUCAUCCGGGUUAUUUUAGGAUUCUAACUCGGAUUUUAGGUUGUUUGUCUUGUUAUUUACUCAAUAAAAUGCAGUUUGUCCUUUUGUAUCGUUCCAUGCUUAGUUCUUUUACCGCUAGUUUUAGUGACAUGACAUGCAUGCGGAAUUUUUGGCCAGAUCUUAGAAAAUUGAUUUAAGCUUGUAUUGGAUAACUGAGAAAAAGACACUUUUGAGGAUGAAAAAGAGUUGAAAUACUUUGGAAUUAAGGUCGAGUAGAAUUCACCUUCAAAUCAAUGUGAAGAUCGGGCUUGAGGGUAUUGAAUCAAUUGAAGCUUGGUUGAAAGUUUGACAUUAAUGGAUGGAGAGUAUCUUUCGACCACGACACACCAAGAAGAUAAACAUGUUCAUCAAUGUUGUGAUUGCAGAAGGAUACUAAUUUUGGCGUUCUCGAGGUCGGGAGGCCCUUUUUCUGCUAUCCAAAAAUGUUAUAUCCUUCGUUACCCCUUUUGAGCCUGUGUUAUUUUCUUUGACCACCCUCUUUUGGAAUCUAGUUUAGAGUCAAGAGUCCAAAAAAAAGGAAAAAAGGAAAAAUGAUAAAAAAAGAAAAGAAAAGAAAAGAAAAGUCCAUGUCCCAAGAGUACAAACUGGAGCAAUUCUUAGAAAGUUCAAGAAAAAAAAUGAAAAAGAAAAGAACUGUCAAAGGUCCAUGCCCCUAGAAAAUAGAAGCUGGGGCAACUUGUUUUGAAAACAAAAAUAAAAAAAGAGAUAAAAAAAGAGGAGAGAUACAGAAAAAAAGAUGAUUUUUUUAGUUAGGUCAGAAGUUUGAACUACGUUCGACCUGAUUCCUUAAAAAAAGAUACGUAUGUGUCAUACCUUCUUUUUACCUAUCCCCAGAAGGGUUUAAGGGAGUUUUUUCCAACUUAAAGUGACAAUCGAAACGAGAUUAUUUAUUUAUAAAUUCAGAGUCGCCACUUGGGAUAAUUUAUGGUGUCCCAAGUCACCAGUUUAAAAUCCCGAAUGAGGAAAGAUUGACUCUGUUUUCAGUCCUCGAACACAGAAAUUCGGGUAAGGAAUUUUGUUAAUCCGGGAGAAUGUAUUAGACAUUCCCGGGUUCCGUGGUUUUAGCACGGUCGCUCAACUGUUAUUAUUGGCCUAUUUAUUUAAUUAAUCACAUCUUUUAAACCUACGUGCAUUUUUAAACCUUUUAAGCCGCUUUUAAAAAUCCAAUUAUUAUACAGCUAAUUAUUGAUUAUACAUGGCAAAUCAUGUCACGAGAACCGUACCCACGAUCCACAACAUGUUUAUUUUAAUUAACAAAAAUAUUGUGGUUGGGUCACAUAAAUGUACACCCGGUUUUAUUACAAAUUAAGUGUCAUGACCACGUCACAGGAACCGUACCCGUAGCUAUGACAAUUAUUUAAUUAACGCGCCUAAAGCAAACUACGAAAGUUUAAGGCAUUUUUUUAUACUAGUUUUUGUAUUUAUGUGAGGGCCAUACAUUAUGGAUUUUGUUUGCGUAUGACACACCUCAAUUAUUUUAAAAGAAAAGAAUUAUUUCACUAAGGUAAACUAAAGAUACUCCUACUUUAAUCUAAUUUAAAAUUAUAUAUCACGACCAUGUCACGAGAACCGUACCCGUAGUCAUGAUGAUGAUUUAUUUUCAUGCCUAAAGGUUCGCCUACCCGGAUGUGGUGGCCUAAGUAUGCUCUUAUGACCAAUUAAGAGAAUAAAAGUUAUAAAUUCCAAUGUUCUUUCAUUUAACGACAAAGCUCGUGCCCACAUAUUAUUAAAAGUUUUGCUAAACCAAUACAACCCAUUCAACUGAAGCGAAGCAUCCAAUCCUAGUAGACCAAACGGAAUGAAAUGAUUAUAAGAAAUCAAACCCCGGUUGACCCAGUGUAUUAAUUCAAACGAAUUUCAUCCAAGCAAAUGUAUGGUUUUUGGAAAUUUCAAUAGAGAGAUAGGAACAAAACUUAUUAAAAUUCAAUCCAUUUUAAUCAUAGAAAUUCGCAUCGUCAUAAUCAAACCAACAAGGGAAAGCUAACUACUACAGAUUAAUACACAUAAUUAUGAAGUAUGCAUUCAUUUCACAUUCUAACUUGAAUAAAGACGAGCAACAAAGCACUGUGCUUAAGGCUUUCACAUAUCCUUUUCAUGCUAAAAUCAUAUCAAAAAUAGAAUAAUAGGGAAUUGACAAUGAACCUGGACUGAACUUCUUCUUAGUAACAGUAGAGGAAUGAGCAUAUACAAUGUUUUUCUCCCAAAUUUAAACUGAGAACAACGCAAUCGAGUAGAAACGUGAGCCAAACCACGAACCUCAGACGGAAACUCGAAUCAGUAUCGGAACGAAAUCAAUCGAACCCUGUCGAUUCCAUGGAAGAAACGGGAGUGGCGACGAAAGGGGGGCUGCUAUGGUGGUGGAAGAGCUCGGAGACAGUGAGGCACGGCUGGGUUAUCUGAGGGGGGUUGGUUUCCGGUGAAGCAACGACUGCAGGUGUGGGCUUCGCCGGAGAUGAGGAAAGGGGGGGUCGUUUGGAGAAGACGAAGUCAGAGGGUGGGGUCGUUUAUGGCUGCGGUGGA